GCCUCAUCAAGAGCCUCCUUCACCUGAUCCCCGAGCAGCAGCAUCUGUAUUAAAGGAUGAAAAGCCUCUAGUACUGGUGGACUGGAAUGCAGAGCAUGUCGUAAAUACUUUAUUGCAUUCUUAUAGUUGUCAUUACGCAGGGCCCGAUGCAUAUUGAGAACAUCCUCUAAAUUUUCAUCUGAGGAAGGCAAUUGUAAAGGCAAUAACCACAAUGGAAGACCACGAUUAUAGAAUAUGGAAUGAUAGGGAUCAUCACCACUCUGAUCCAUAGAAGAACCUUCACGGUCACUUCUUUCAGAAGAAUUCAUGUAAAA
rnacentral:misc_RNA from 1 species